GGGAUUGUGGCUCAACAGUAGAGUGCUUGUCUGGUACAUGUGAGGCCCUGAGUUUGAUCCUCAGCACCA
rnacentral:tRNA from 1 species